GCCAAACUGGUAUAGUGGCUUGAACACUGGACUACAACUCUGGAGAUCAGGAUUCAAUUCCUUGCUUGGCC